CUCCUACGGGAGGCAGCAGUGGGGAAUAUUGCACAAUGGGGGAAACCCUGAUGCAGCGACGCCGCGUGGAGGAAGAAGGUCUUCGGAUUGUAAACUCCUGUUGUUGAGGAAGAUAAUGACGGUACUCAACAAGGAAGUGACGGCUAACUACGUGCCAGCAGCCGCGGUAAAACGUAGGUCACAAGCGUUGUCCGGAAUUACUGGGUGUAAAGGGAGCGCAGGCGGGAAGACAAGUUGGAAGUGAAAUCUAUGGGCUCAACCCAUAAACUGCUUUCAAAACUGUUUUUCUUGAGUAGUACAGAGGUAGGCGGAAUUCCCGGUGUAGCGGUGGAAUGCGUAGAUAUCGGGAGGAACACCAGUGGCGAAGGCGGCCUACUGGGCACCAACUGACGCUGAGGCUCGAAAGUGUGGGUAGCAAACAGGAUUAGAUACCCUGGUAGUCCACACCGUAAACGAUGAUUACUAGGUGUUGGAGGAUUGACCCCUUCAGUGCCGCAGUUAACACAAUAAGUAAUCCACCUGGGGAGUACGACCGCAAGGUUGAAACUCAAAGGAAUUGACGGGGGCCCGCACAAGCAGUGGAGUAUGUGGUUUAAUUCGACGCAACGCGAAGAACCUUACCAAGUCUUGACAUCCUGCGACGAUGCUGGAAACAGUAUUUUCCUUCGGGACGCAGAGACAGGUGGUGCAUGGUUGUCGUCAGCUCGUGUCGUGAGAUGUUGGGUUAAGUCCCGCAACGAGCGCAACCCUUACUGUCAGUUACUACGCAAGAGGACUCUGGCAGGACUGCCGUUGACAAAACGGAGGAAGGUGGGGAUGACGUCAAAUCAUCAUGCCCUUUAUGACUUGGGCUACACACGUACUACAAUGGCGUUAAACAAAGAGAAGCAAGACCGCGAGGUGGAGCAAAACUCAGAAACAACGUCCCAGUUCGGACUGCAGGCUGCAACUCGCCUGCACGAAGUCGGAAUUGCUAGUAAUCGUGGAUCAGCAUGCCACGGUGAAUACGUUCCCGGGCCUUGUACACACCGC
rnacentral:rRNA from 1 species